GUGCGAGGCAAAUUAGGUGUGAGUGUUCUCUGUCCUCUAAGGCCUGUAAUCCAAUGCCGUAUGCGCUCGUACGUGCAGCACAAUUAUUCUUUGUGAUUUUGUCACUACGCUACCCGCUGCUUGCUUCGCGUGUCGUGUCUCUGCCCCUCACCUUCCCUCAACCCAGCGAUCCCUCAGGGGAGCUGUGGAGCCCGAAUUCUGAUUUGCCAUAAUUAAGGCGAGCAGGCAAGAGGUGAAUGAUCCAUUGAAGUGAAUCCACUCUGUUUUGUUUUGGUUUUUAAUGUCUAUUAUUUAUUUUUGAGAGAGGGAGAGUGCGAGCGGGGCAGGGGCAGAGAGGAGGGGGGCACAGAGGAUCCGAAGAGGGCUCCACGCUGACAGCAGAGAGCCCCACGUGGGGCUCGAACUCACAAACCAUGAGAUCACGACCUGAGCCCAAGUCAGACGCUCAACCAACCACACCACCCAGGUGCCCCAGAGCAAAUCCACUUUCAAAGCACCUUUUGUGUGUGCCUGCCGCAGGUUGGGCGUUUUGAUAUGUCACUGGCAUCGGAGUGAACGGGGUACAUGGGUCACAAGGAGCUGUCACCAUUUCUCCCCGGGGUGCUGAAGCGGGCAUGUGUGAGGGAGCGCAGAGGAACUCAGGGCAGGGGGAGGCCCCAGAGGAUGAGUUUAGGCAAAGAGAUAAAGGGGAACUGAGACCAGGGGGCCAGGCAGCAGCCGGCCGAGCGAACGAGGAGGCCGGGGCAGCCGGGGCAAGACAAGCAGGGCAGGUGCGUAGAAGCCCAGGGCAGGCGGUGGGCCUGGAGCUCAGGAUGUGCGGGAGAGGAAACCAGAAGCACGUUCCUGGGCCAGAUCCCAGCGGGGCCCAGAGGCCUCGCGAAGAAAUGAGGCCUCCACCCUGAAGACAGCGGACAUUUUCCUCCGGGCGAGGGGCAGAUUCUCCUUCUAGAAACUGCCCCAGGGGAUAAAGGGCAAGAACUCCCAGAGGAGUGCAAGAACGGAGGCGGGAAGACCCCAGAGAGAGACGGUGGCCUGAUCGGAGGAGGCCUCAGGGGGCCCGACUGAGAGGCGGCAGGGCGGAGGGACAGGCCUGAAGGCUCCAGAUAGUUGGAUGAGUCUCGGAGAGCAGUCGGACGUGGGGUGAACACUACGGGGCAACAAGAAGUGUUUGAGCCUCCGGUGCCAUGGGAUGGUGCCCCUGAGAUGUCUCAGAUCUGCAGUCAGCAGACGUGUUCGGUCAAGAGCCACACAACCAGCAGAGAGCUCCCUUUGGUGUUUCACGUGCAUCCCUGGUGGCCGUCACGACAAUCAUCCGACCCGACAGCCAACUGUCUCCCCACCGGAUGCCUAUGCUGGCUGGAAGCAACAGGGAGAACACACAUUGAGAAUACUCCCUUGCGCUUCCUUUCCAAAGAAAAUGAUACAAGAGGCUACUUCUCACGGCCACACGUUCCUCUCCGGUGAAGACAAUGUUACACUGGAAAGUCUUCUAGAGGAUGGAUGGCAACGAACCCCGAUGGUGGUGAUCAUUUCACGAUAGAUGUGGAAACAAAAACCCACCACGCUGGACCCCUCACACGUCUACAGGGAUGCCAGGAGGGUUUUGCUACACGCUCAAACCUGGACCACAGAAGGGCCACGUGUGCUCGUGGCAAUACGUCAUGCACUCCUACUGGAAAACAGCUUUCACUCCACAGGGACAUACUUUUCUUUUUCAUAAAGAAUGUGCAUCAGAGCAAAACAAAGUUGGAAUACUCAAUUUUAAAAUUAGUCACAUAAAUCCCAACACA